GGCCUUAUGGUGUAGCGGUUAUCACAUCGGAUUCUGAUUCCGGGAACCCAGGUUCGAUUCCUGGUAAGGCCU
rnacentral:tRNA from 1 species